rnacentral:rRNA from 1 species
UACGUAGGGGGCAAGCGUUGUCCGGAAUCAUUGGGCGUAAAGCGCGUGUAGGCGGUCCGGUAAGUCGGCUGUGAAAGUCCAGGGCUCAACCCUGGGAUGCCGGUCGAUACUGCCGGACUAGAGUCCGGAAGAGGCGAGUGGAAUUCCCGGUGUAGCGGUGAAAUGCGCAGAUAUCAGGAAGAACACCCGUGGCGAAGGCGGCUUUCUGGGACGGUACUGACGCUGAGACGCGAAAGCGUGGGGAGCGAACAGG